AGUGAACGCUGGCGGCAUGCCUAACACAUGCAAGUCGAACGGGGCAGCAAUGCCUAGUGGCGGACGGGUGAGGAAUACGUAGGAAUCUGCCCUUAAGUGGGGGAUAACCAGGGGAAACCCUGACUAAUACCGCAUGAUCUCUUCGGAGCAAAGAGGGGGACCGCAAGGCCUCUCGCUUCUGGAUGAGCCUACGUCUGAUUAGCUAGUUGGUAGGGUAAAGGCCUACCAAGGCGACGAUCAGUAACUGGUCUGAGAGGAUGAUCAGGCACACCGGAACUGAGACACGGUCCGGACUCCUACGGGAGGCAGCAGUGGGGAAUAUUGGACAAUGGGCGCAAGCCUGAUCCAGCAAUGCCGCGUGUGUGAAGAAGGCCUUCGGGUUGUAAAGCACUUUAGCCUGGAAAGAAAAAACUUUGGUUAACACCCAAAGUCUUGACGGUACCAGGAGAAUAAGCACCGGCUAACUCUGUGCCAGCAGCCGCAGUAACAC
rnacentral:rRNA from 1 species